rnacentral:lncRNA from 1 species
GGAGAAACAGCCUUAUAGAAACCGCUUAUCCAGCAGACACAACUGCAUGAGAUCACAUCUCCUAUUUCUGCUAUAACACAUCUCCUAUUUCUACUUCUCUAUUUGGGCCCUGACUGAUACACUUACCCUCAUUAACUCUGAGAGCAACUGUGAGCUUCAAAUAAACUAUGAUAGCUGUGUUGCCUACUCUCUAAGAACCCAGGAUCUCAAAAGGGAAAUAAAGCAUUCACAUAACUAAAAAGUAUUACACAGAAAGAACUAAAUUAUUUUUUACAUGUGCUAUAGACUUUGUAACUAGGAAGCACAUGCCUCAGCCUCCUGAGUAGCUGGGAUUACAGGCGUGUGCCACCAUGCCUAGCUAACUUUUGUAUUUUUUUUUAAGUAGAGAUAGGGUUUCACCAUGUUGCCCAAGCUGGUCUGAAACUCCUGACCUCAAGUGAUCCACCUGCCUCAACUCCCAAAGUGCUAGGAUUACAAGUGUGAGCCACUGCACCUGGCAGGGAGGUAAAUUUGGACUUUACUGUUUAUAUGAAAUGCUUAAAAUUUUUGUCAUCAAUGAGGCUCAAUACGGAGAUUAAAUGUAGUUUUAGAAAAAAUAAAGAGCUUGGUCACACUUUUAUAAACAUUGGAAUGUGGGACCAACGACAUUGGUGUACACUAGAUAAAAAUAAAUGAAAUCACUCCUCCUACCUAUGCUCAUAGUAGCAUAACGAACCCAGAACAUGGUCGUCCCGGCAGCCACUACAAAUGGAAUGAAUUAGAGUCAACACGUCAUAGAAAACGAUUUAGUAUCUACUAUUUGUAGACAUAUAUGGGCUCUUUUUCAGGCCGUAGUACAUGAAACUUUCUCCUACCUGAGACUAUAGCAAGUAUUGAAUGGGAAUAUCUACCAAAAGUACUGGACUUUCUGGUAUUAUUCAUUUCAUACGCAUGAACACUGAAAGUCAAAGAGUUGUUUAACUUUUACAAUGUUACCCAGCCAACAGUGAAUCUGUCAGGUCAAGGCAGUCUGACUUUAGAUCCUGUGCCCUUGACAGCUGCUUUGCUCUUUCUCAAGUCAGGAGGAUCUGUAGCUUGGGGUUACACUGAGCUCCCAUGGCUUAGCCCAUACCUGAUUCCUAUAAAAGGUGUCAGAGCACCAGGAAAAGGAACUCAGAGAUGCACUACCUUGAGGAUUUCUCUAGCAACUGCAGCAUAUGAGGACUCUGCAAAUGGAACAUCUUGGAAAAUGCCUUAACUAAACAGAGAAUCAAAAAUCAUCAAGGAAUGGGAAGAGCUGGAAGACACACACACACAAUAGGCAGUUCUAGUUAAUGGCCUGGCCUCCAGUCCCGCUAUUUUAUUGGUACCCUAUUCAUUAAAGUUCUCACAAACUGAAAGCAAAAACAAGGCUGGUGGAAAGUACAGGUGCCUCUUUCAGAAGUUAUUUUAAUAUCAUUUUUUAAACUUUUAAAAAAUUCUUAGGAUAUUUUUAUAUCACCCAGAAUUCUAAUAAUUAAAGAUGCACUGAGAUUUACAAAUACAUUCUCUAAGUAUGCAUGAACAUCUUUUGAGAUUAGGUUUCCAUCCGUGACAAGCCUGACUGUGCCACUUAGAAGCUGUAUGACAUUGAAUAAGUUACUUUCUCAGUGCCUUGGUUUCCUCAUCUAUAAAGACAAUGACUUAAUAUCUGUUGUAUACAGUAGUUGAGACAAUUAAAUAAAUCAAGACCCGUAAGGUGCUGAAAACAGCAUCUGGGACAUAGUAAGUGUUAGAUGAAUGAUUAUGAUUAUUAAUACUCUUUUUAUUUUUGUCAUUGGGAGAAGCAACAGUUAACCCACACUGCCAUCCAAAAAGUCUAUUGGGUGACUUUUCUUCUGCACAACAACUUGUUGUAGACUUGACACAAACUGAAAAAUAUUAAGAGUAAUCUUUGUAAUUUGACAUAUGGUAAAGGAAUUAAUGUUUCAAGUAUUUAGUAGAAUAAUUUAGUGAGGCCUAAUAAGGGGUGAUUGGGUGAUGAGGGCUCCUCACUUAUGAAUAAAUGAAAGUUAUUACUCCCUUGCCCUUUUCUGCUUCUGCUCUUUCCCCUCAACAUGUGUCAGCUGUUUUAAUUAUUGUUAGAAUUAUCCCUUAAAUAAACCAUAUGUUUUAUUGCUACUAGAGUCUCAUCCUCCAAAAAAGAAAAGGAAAACAAAAACUUUUCUUAUGAGCCCUUAUAUAGAAGACGUUAAAAUGAUGUAGUGCAAUAUUUGCAAACCUGCUUAUGUGUUAAAACAUUCUGAGGAUUAAAAUAUGUACACAGUGUGUGUAUAUACAUAUAUAUUUAUAUAUGUAUAUGUUUUUACCCUGCUUCUACUGUUUUCUAUUUAGAAGACCUUGAGACCGUAUGCAGUCUAUAAAUCUGCAUUCUAAAACAGGUCUCCCAAUUCUAUGUGUUAUUGUUCAGCUUUUUUGAGUCAUAAUUUAGAAACAAUAAAAUUCACCAACUUUAAGUGGACAAUUUUAUGAGAAGAUAAAACAUAUGUUUGUGGUAACUAGCACCAAAAUUAUCAUAUGGACCAUUUCCAACACUCCAAAAGCAUGUGUUCCUUUGUAAUCAAUCCCCUUUUCAGACAUCCAGCCCCACCUGACUUAGGACUCAUGCAUGUCCUCCUUGUUUACUUAUGACAAGGCCAAACACAGAUGCUCCAAAGUCCAAAUUUGCCUCAGAAAUGAUUAGCUGAACUGCUUAUCACCACUGAUAAAUGAGAAGUCCAUGCAUAUUUACCAACUUUUGUGUAAUUUGGUCAUUUUUCUCUUUUUUCUCCAGGCCAAAUCAGCAUAGAAUCCCUCCUUAAGAGCCCCUACCAAGAAUAUAUUGAAGUCAGGAUAAAAUAUUCCUCCUACAUCCGCACGCUGGGUUCUCCCUAGCCCUGUUUCUACCCCCUCAUAAACCAUUAACUAAAUUCUUCAUCCUCACUGAUCCCUAAGAACAAAGUGCUUGUUAACCAACUUGACCUAACUUUAGUUAACCUUCUUUUCUUUCUACAGGACCCUGAAAUGUGACCCACCUCAGCCAGAGCCAACAAUGACCUGCAGAAAGAGCCUCCUUACUGCAAACAAAAGACACUGCAUAAACCAUGCUUACUCUUCACUGUAUAAGAACAGGUCUUUCCUUCCUGACCUUUUAGAUGUUUGAUCCUAUGGUCUGAGUUCUCCCUAUUGUAACUGUCUCCCUCUUCCUGUUGCAGAAGGCUUUUUCUCCCCUCUUACAACACUGUUUUAAAUAAAAUGUCUCCUUACCUAAAUCUGGAGUUGUUUUUAUUUAAAAAUACUUGGUGUAGUUUUGUUAUAAGUUAAACUGACCUUUGGUAUAGCUUUGUUAUAAGUUAAAUUGACUUAACCUGGAAAUCUGAAUAUCAAUAUAUUUACUCAUUCAUUUAUUUAUUAAGUCUUGACUGAGAACUUACUGUGGGGACUUUGUAAGGUGUCACAAGACUGAACAACACUUCCUGAUAUUCUCUUCCCUGUACACUUCCAGUUAGAGUGGGCCACAAGAGAGAUUUUCAUGGGAGAUUUGGAGGGCAAAAUUGAAGAAGAAGCCAUUUUUUUCAUAACUCACCUCCUGACACAAAUCAGUGACUGGGCUGGCAAGUGCUUGCUUCACUGUCCCCAGGAAUCUCUUUCAGCUUCU